rnacentral:rRNA from 1 species
UGGCGUGCGGAAAGCCGACCCGCCGGGAGCAGACGGGCGGGGCGCAGCGACAGGCCGGGCCGGGCCGAAAGAGGGAAAGCCAUGCGGCGGGGCAGCACCGGAGCGGUGGCCGGUGGCGGGUGAACGGGGGCGAAAGCCUAAACCGAGCAAAGCCGCCGCACCUCUUAUAUAAAGGGACGGUGGAAAGGCGGAGUAGUAAAGCGAGGAGGAGGACUACGACGAGACGAAUCGGAAUUCGGGCGGGCGGUGGGGGAAGGAAAAACCGCAGACGAGGCGAGGCCGGUAGCGGCGUCUAGCCCUAGAGGGCGCCGCACGACUAAUAGCCGAACCUAGCUGUCCGCUCGCUAGGACGAAGUUGUGGUUGGUGGAGACUGGUAGAUUUGUCGCGCAACCUCGCUGACAGUUCUAAGCUCCUAUGACAACGUGUUACCCUUGUUCCUACUGUCAGUACGCCGCUAACGGACAGCGCGACAGGAGCCGUAACGAGCUCACCUAAAACUACGAAGACGAUAAGUAGCUGCGUCAAAUGAGGAAGGAGUAGUGGUCUAAACGGGCAGAGACGUUUGAUGGCCAUGGAACGGGCAAGACAAGUUCCGAUCUAGUACAGGAGCCGUUACUCCUUGGGACGAAGAUGUCCCUUAACUAGACGUUUUGAGUGUUCAGUCUCGAGAGCAGAAACCGGAAGACAGCGGAGGUGGUCUUUGAACACCCGCGCCUUUCAUACACACUACCUACGUCGUCAUCGAGUGAACGAGGUUUUCACUGUGGUUUGUUGUUACUGUUGUGUCUACUCGGGCGGCACCUACAGCUACAUGAGUUGCCAUGAGUCCCUCCACUACCACACAAUGUAAGAGGAGAAUGAUCUUACACAAGUACAACACGUGUUGUAAAACUUGUUGCCUCACAUAGCGACAAAAGAGUCUUCUCACCUCUCGAGGUCAUACGAUUCAGUGGUUUCUAAACGUGCCUAAUAGGACAUAGUACCGUUGACCUGCUUAGUAAACUUUGGUUACUGUAGAUGGUGGUCUCACUAGUAUGUAGAGUACUCUCUAUGUCACGAGAUGUCUACUGUAGACUGAGGCUCCAACUCCAAGGAACACGACUACUACGGUCUCUAAGAGUGGGAGUACUUCGGAUACUAUACCUUCUCUCUCUGAAAGUCCUUCUACGUCAAAAACUCUAUGGUCCGCAAGGUGUGGGACUCCACCGGUUCGGUAGACUUUACUUACAAGUCCUUCUUGUUUUUCGCUGACUGAGACCACUACGUAGAAGCCGCCUAGGACAAGGUUUAAUACUAGGACUCUCACACUAAUCACCCUCGGUUUACCCCCGUCUCCUGUAGAGUAGGUCUUCUGCUCGUAGUGCCGUACUGGGAGAAUAACGGUAACUUCUCAAUAGAAAUCUUCUACGGUGGCAAGGGGUUUAAGGUCAACGUAGUUAACUACUCAAUGGAUUCUAAGAACCACUUUGACUUAGUAUACUCUACUGUUCACUGUCGUAGUAACUAGGUAUAUGUAGAGUUAACUGUUAUGAGCUUGUUGUGAUACGACAACGUCGCCUGUUUUUAUAUUUUCUUCGAGUCCCCCCUCUUUAGUGACGAUAUAGUUCACCGUACAAAGUGGUCUCUUCGUGUAACCGAUUACUAGGUCAAUGUUCACUUGGUCAUGGGUUCCUGAUAGUGAUACAACGAAGUCUUCUAUUAAAACCCCUAUAGGGGCAAAGUGUCCAAUCACGGCUAAGUCUUUGAGAACGACUUCAACUUCUAUUAGGAUUUUUCCGGCUUAGCUAGCCACUAUGCCCUUAUCUACCUGAUUGUAGUGUUCUAGGAAGGUCAAGUCGAAAGUUUCUAAACCAUAGUUUUCCACGCUUUCUCCGAGUAUAAGGUGGUCAACGACAGUCUAGUUUACCACUCCAUAGAGUCCCAGAACUACGUUAACUCCUUGUAGGGGUUUGUUAACUUUGCCAACCACUUUCCUCUGGUAGAGAAUCGUGUGUCUAAUCGUACUUGCUUCGGAUGUUAGAACGGUAACCAUACUCCUCACCAAAGGGUAGGGGUUGGAACUGUCUACACUAAGAACCUUUCCCGAGAAGCCGAUCACAUUUACCUCUUAACUCCGAUGAUGAUAGCGUUGAGAGCCGAAGGUCCCCCGAGCUCCGUUGAACCGAACUGGGUCCGGGAUCGGGUGCGCGCAUACCCGCACCGCUACUAGACUAUCACGUCUUGUAUUGUUCUUCUUAGAGCGAGCUCUCUUUACAAAGACCGGACCUUAGCGACCUGCCUUCGUAACAAUCGCUCUACCUUCCACUCUCGUGGUAGCUGGACGACUCUGCUGUCUAACUAGAUCUGGCCUUCAGCUAUGUGGAGGAGACGUCCCUCGACCUCCUUCUCUCCUUACGACGUCGCUAGCGACGUUUGGUUCGUGACCGGUACUAGUGGUCCGACGUCCUACUCUUCCGACGUUACGUCUACCUUCGGAGAGUAAUGGUCUCCUACUACCUCCUCGUUCGUCUCAUGCUACCGCUUCGCGAGCGACUUCGAUUGCUCGACGAACGAGUUUCUCUUCUAGUUUAUGUCCUUAACCUUCGGCUCGAACUUUUCACGUCCUGUGUCAGACGUCCACCUCCCGGUUGUCUCUUUCUUCUGUUAGUCGAGGGGAAACUUCUUGUUGUAUCGUGACAUCGAAACGAACUUCUACUCUCCCGUAUGUAUAGUCUUUCAAACUCCUUCGACCUCUUCUUUGAAGUGAACAUGAGGUUGUUGUUAUGAAGUUGUCUAAAUAGUUUAAGUCUACGAUAUCUCCUCUGUGUUCUCAGGUAAGAGAACCGAUUCCUUCCAGUUAGAAGAUCUUACCUACCCCUCCGACUGGAUAGGUGUAAAGUUCUCCUUUAGAGCUCGAACUUAUUUUCUAACUUCUGAGAUCUUCCUCUGGCCCUAAAGGAGCUCGUGUCGUAUUUGAGGGAAUUCUUACCUUUUCUUCCACGCGUUAAGUAUUCCCUUUAACGGACGUUGGAGUCUCUUGAGGCUCGAUAACGGUAACUCUCGUUUAUCGUAACACCUAAAAUCGAGAAUUGUGUUUUGGAGAAGCACGUGGUCUAAGGGUGGGUUGAACAUGUAACAUAUAAAAACACGGGGUUUUCCUUUCUUUAACAACAAUCCAACGAUGUAGAUCCUUGAAACAAAAACCGAUAACUCCCCUCUAAAAUGGGUUUUCUUGAACCGUUCAUAUGACCGUACAUAAACAAAAGAAAAGAAACACUCUGCUCAGUCAAACAGAACCUAUACCUGUAUCAUCACCCAUUGUUGUGUGGUUCACCGGAUGACUAAAACAAUAUUUUGUUCACUAGUCAUAAACCCUGA